UGUAAAUGUAUAAAAUAUCACUAAAACAUUAAUGCUUAAUCUCUGGGAGUUUUUUUAAUUCUAAAAUAUUUAGAAAUUUAUGAAAUUUUAUUUGAUCUCAAGUGGAUCCCAUAAUUUGUACAUCUGUGUUUCUGUUGUAGUCCAAAUAUUGCACUAUUAUAAUCUUAGGCUACGGCCAUGCAGAUGCAAAUUUAGAGUGCACGAGCGAUUUCUGGUGUCAUCACACUUGCACAGUGGGAUCAUGCAGAUGCAAAAAACUCAAAACAUCGCAUGCAAGAGCGAAAAUACAUUUCUCACACGUAUCUGACUCUGCUUGAUUUUAUUGCUGUCUGCCAAAUCUUGCUUGCCGCUGCACAUACAUAGUAGUCCAUGUUUAUUGCUGGAUAAACAAGAUGGCUACUUCCACGUGCUCUGCGGAUAAAAAGAUAUUAAAAGAAAAGUUAA
rnacentral:lncRNA from 1 species